rnacentral:rRNA from 1 species
GAUGAACGCUAGCGGCAGGCUUAAUACAUGCAAGUCGAGGGACAGCACAGGUAGCAAUACUGGGUGGUAACCGGCAAACGGGUGCGGAACACGUACACAACCUUCCUUUAAGUGGGGGAUAGCCCAGAGAAAUUUGGAUUAAUACCCCGUAAUAUAGUUGAAUGGCAUCAUUUGAUUAUUAUAGCUACGGCGCUUAAUGAUGGGUGUGCGGCUGAUUAGAUAGUUGGCGGGGUAACGGCCCACCAAGUCUACGAUCAGUAGCUGAUGUGAGAGCGUGAUCAGCCACACGGGAACUGAGAGACGGGCCAGACUCCUACGGGAGGCAGCAGUAAGGAAUAUUGGUCAAUGGACGCAAGUCUAAACCAGCCAUGCCGCGUGAAGGAUUAAGGUCCUCUGGAUUGUAAACUUCUUUUAUUUGGGACGAAAAAGGGCCUUUCUAGGUCAACUGACGGUACCAGAUGAAUAAGCACCGGCUAACUCCGUGCCAGCCGCCGCCGUAAUAC